AUUGAACGCUGGCGGCAGGCCUAACACAUGCAAGUCGAGCGGAUGAAGGGAGCUUGCUCCUGGAUUCAGCGGCGGACGGGUGAGUAAUGCCUAGGAAUCUGCCUGGUAGUGGGGGAUAACGUCCGGAAACGGGCGCUAAUACCGCAUACGUCCUGAGGGAGAAAGUGGGGGAUCUUCGGACCUCACGCUAUCAGAUGAGCCUAGGUCGGAUUAGCUAGUUGGUGGGGUAAAGGCCUACCAAGGCGACGAUCCGUAACUGGUCUGAGAGGAUGAUCAGUCACACUGGAACUGAGACACGGUCCAGAGUCCUACGGGAGGCAGCAGUGGGGAAUGUUGGACAAAGGGCGAAAGCCUGAUCCAGCCAUGCCGCGUGUGUGAAGAAGGUCUUCGGAUUGUAAAGAACUUUAAGUUGGGAGGAAGGGCAGUAAGUUAAUACCUUGCUGUUUUGACGUUACCAACAGAAUAAGCACCGGCUAACUUCGUG
rnacentral:rRNA from 1 species